rnacentral:rRNA from 1 species
GAUGAACGCUGGCGGCGUGCCUAAUACAUGCAAGUCGAGCGAACAGACGAGGAGCUUGCUCCUCUGACGUUAGCGGCGGACGGGUGAGUAACACGUGGAUAACCUACCUAUAAGACUGGGAUAACUUCGGGAAACCGGAGCUAAUACCGGAUAAUAUAUUGAACCGCAUGGUUCAAUAGUGAAAGACGGUUUUGCUGUCACUUAUAGAUGGAUCCGCGCCGCAUUAGCUAGUUGGUAAGGUAACGGCUUACCAAGUCAACGAUGCGUAGCCGACCUGAGAGGGUGAUCGGCCACACUGGAACUGAGACACGGUCCAGACUCCUACGGGAGGCAGCAGUAGGGAAUCUUCCGCAAUGGGCGAAAGCCUGACGGAGCAACGCCGCGUGAGUGAUGAAGGUCUUCGGAUCGUAAAACUCUGUUAUUAGGGACGAACAAAUGUGUAAGUAACUAUGCACGUCUUGACGGUACCUAAUCAGAAAGCCCCGGCUAACUACGUG